GGCAGAGUAACGACCUGAGGGUAGCUGAUCAAUGAGUUUCUAGGGGAUGGCGUGAGAUAAAAAUGCUUAGUUCGUCGAGUCAAUGUACGACAGUUUAUGAACUCUUCCCAAAGUGCCUUUGUGAAACUAGAUGCAGCUAGAACCGCGAGGCGCUAGCGAACUGUGUGGUUCGUAUGUGCGUGUGCGCCUCUUCUAUUCAUAAUGCCAAGUUUAUGGGAAGACUUGCACAGACAUUCGGGGAGGAAGGCGAAGCCAUGAUGGCAGAUGCCAAAGUGUUUUUAUUUAUCAGUGAGUGAUAUUCCGGUUGGGAAUGGAUGGUUCUGGAUUUCUGUGGGACAGAGUUCCCAGGGAAAGGUGUGACCUUUUGGGUGACUUGACAAUGAGUAGUUUUAAGUUAGUCUGUGAGACUGGAUUACUUAGUUAACCGACUUAGUUGUUACUGUAAAUAAACGUUAUGUUAUGA